rnacentral:rRNA from 1 species
CUGGCUCAGGAUGAACGCUAGCGACAGGCCUAACACAUGCAAGUCGAGGGGCAGCGCGGGAGAAGCUUGCUUUCCUGGCGGCGACCGGCGCACGGGUGCGUAACAGGUGUGCAAUCUGUCCAUAGUCGGGGGAUAGCCCAGCGAAAGCUGAAUUAACACUCCAUGUGAAUCGAAGCCGCACGACUUUGAUUUGAAACGCAAGGACUAUGGGUGAGCACGCUUCUGAUUAGAUAGUUGGUGAGGUAACGGCUCACCAAGUCGACGAUCAGUAGGGGUUCUGAGAGGAAGGUCCCCCACAUUGGAACUGAGACACGGUCCAAACUCCUACGGGAGGCAGCAGUGAGGAAUAUUGGUCAAUGGGCGAGAGCCUGAACCAGCCAAGUCGCGUGAAAGGAUGAAGGUUCUAUGGAUUGUAAACUUCUUUUGUCCGAGGGUAAAAAAGGCCACGUGUGGCUUCUUGCAAGUAUCGGACGAAUAAGCAUCGGCUAACUCCGUGCCAGCCGCAGC